CAGAGCUAUAAACAGGCUGAGCUGCAAGAGGAGGGGAUGGGGACAUGAAGGAAGAAACAGCAGCAGCUCAUUGUUUUACGUAAAGAUUCUGAUUGCAGAGCUGCUUCAGCACUGGGGGCUGGGUGCAGAAUGAGUCAGAGAGCUUAAAAUGGAUCUUAGUCACGAAGCAGAGUCUGCUGCUGAUGCCUCAUGCCAGCUCCUUCUCCUACCAAUGCUGCAGAGAGAAUGGCUCAGAGUCCUGUUCAUAAGCCAUAUGCCAGGGCGGCCUGUGGGAAGAUGGAUCCAGAGGGACAGAAAGAAAGGUGAUGGAUUGUCAGUGAUACAGGACCAUAUGGAUGUUCUUCUCAUCAAUUUCCCCUCCUAUCGGAAACAGCCCAUCAAGGCUCUGAAUGUUGGUGAACCACUCAGGCCAAAGGAGCUAUGAUAUUAAAGCAAAGACACCGCAGGGAUUUGAACCCCGUCCUGGAAACCAGGAGUGCCAACCACCAGCAUCUUUUGCUUUUUUUGUGCGCUAAUAUAGUAAAGGAGAAAAGCAAAACCUGAGACAACAGCCUGUUCUCCCAGGAAAAGAAAAACCUUAAAUAAUCGGAGUCCCUAGCCUGAGAGAUCGAAUCAGCUCAUCUACCAAAACUCUACUACCCGAUACAGGAUGUUGUAGAUGAAUAUGCUGCGCUUGGCUAUGGAUUAAUUUUUCCUUCUAACUUUUGACCAUGGAGAUAUGGGCCAGGGACACAAUUUUGCUUAAACUUCACAGGUUUUGGUCCCUCCUACUGAUGGCAGUUUGCCAGGAUACUCGUAGGAUGGAGAAAGAACAUUUUAAGCAGGCUAUGGUGACUCCAUUUUGGCUUUAGAAUGGGAUUUAGUUAUUGAAGAGUUAUUUCUAACACAUGAAAUAGAUUUUAAGACAUUACAAUUAUUUUGAAAAGAUAGACUUCAUGGCAGACUAACUUGCUUAGAAAUACUGUCUGCAUUUUCAGUAUGUAGAACUCUCCUCUUCAAUGCAAUAUGAGACCAGAUUUAAUUUCUCUAAUGUUACUUUGAAUAUCUGAUAUAAUCCACAAAAGACAACAUAAAAAGGUAGAACUUUCUAAUAAAUUCUGAUUAAAUCCACAUUUAAAGUUGCUCAGAAAACCUUUUUUUCCAUUAACUCCUGUGUAUAUUAUAUUGAAAGCUGUUAAAAUCUCCCAUCAGUAUUAACAUUUUACUGUAUACACUGACUGCCAAUUCCUUAAGUAAAUGAUUAAAAACCACCCAUCAUCAUUUACUCUAAACCAGAUCACAAAAUACCACACAAUCUGAGUUAUUCCACAUUCAUCUGAUAUCUGUUUUUGUUUUAUCAAAAUUUUAUGACAUCUUGCAACUUUUUUUGUCCUUGGAAAUAUUAUAGCAGUGUUUUAUAUUCUCUUUCUAUUCAGUCUUUUCUCUUAUAUUCAGUUUUGUCCUUUUGAGACUUAUUAAAAAUUCCACAAAUUCUCAAUUUCACAUUCAAGUGAUACCUAGAUAGCUCAGACCUCCACACCAGCCAACAUAGGUCUUUCUUAACCAAUACAUUCAUUAAGUUAAACAACUCAAAAUGACUGAUUUCAGGAUUCAAUGAGGUUUAGUUGCAAUGACAACUUCAAGAUAUUGUGUCCAAAAAAACCCUGAUUAGUUUAAAUCAGUUUUGAAUCUAUGAAGAUACCUUGAAACCACCUUUUAAUACUUAGAAAUUUCACAUCAGUUUUUCCUAUUUCUUUUGUCUUUCCCCUUCCAUUUGAUAUUCAAAAUGUGGCCCUUUUUGAAUGUUUAUUUCACUUUACCUUAAUAAAAACUCAGAAUAUCCCUAAAAUUUCUCUUUAGCUUGUACCAUCUCAAUAGCCUAUUUAAGGCAGACAACCUUAGCUCCUCUAACUUGAU